CACACACACACACACACACACACACACACACACACACACACACACACACACACACACACACACACAUAAACACACAUAAACACACACACACAGAGAGAGAGUUUGGAGCAACACUGUCAGAUGUCUGGGAUUUGAACGAGCAACCCCUCUCUAACUUCUAGGCUACCUGCCACCCUUUGGUGGUUUGGUUUGAUGUAACAUUUGGUGAUGUAAUCUUGCAGUCUGACUCUAUUUGGUGCUGAGAAGGACUUCUACGACGGUGUGUUCUUGGCGAAAGACAUGUCCAUAAAAAGACCAAGCAUGUCAUUUUUCUCUUACACAGUUUCUAUAAUAUAGCUUUAAUGUCACCUAGUUUAGAACUUGUUUAUUUUAAGUUCAUCUCUGCACUUCACUGUGAUUUCUUAUGUUGUAGAUGCCAGUCAAAGGAGUGUGUGGCACAUCAGAGUGGACAGCGGCCAAAGAGACGUCAGGCAAAUCAUCUGCCAAAGUAGAUGAGGAGGGCCUUGAGAUAGUAGUUUGCCGACACUGCGUUUUCCUCAAGGCCCUCAACAUGUACAGAGGGGAGGUAUAUGCCUACUUAGUGUACUUGCAGGAGGAGUUGUGUUCUGUUGGCACGGUGGGCUUCUUCUGCUGCAAUGUUGCAUGCAAAUACUGGCCAUAUUUGCAGAAAAUUGUGCAGGCAUGCCCAGAAAAUGCACUUUCUCCUCUGCAUUAUGCAUGCGAAGGCGCAUGAAUGGUCUUGUCAGAUCCUGUUUUCCUUGCCUGACGCUGUUUUCCUCUCUGCUACAGUUCUGCCCGCUCUGACUCUGGUCCCUGUCUCCAGUCCCACGUCUCGUCAUCCUGCUACUCUGUCCUGGAUUCCCCACUACUUCUCCCUUGGAUUCCCCUCCGGACAUGCUUACCCUGUCCCAACCCCUCUCGCUCCAGCCUCAGCCUCCGCACCUGGUUUCCAGCAACCCGCCCGAGUUUCCCCUGACCUGCACUCCAUCUUCCCCCUGUGUUUCAAUAAAUACAU
rnacentral:lncRNA from 1 species